GUUGUUGUAGAUCCAAAACACAAGCCACAUCCAUUUUAGGUCUUCCAGAGAUGGUAGUGUGCCCAGAAAUGUCGCUGUGUGUACCAACACUGUCUGUGCUGGAGAUACCUUCUAUAAUUGUUGGUUGUAAAGGAGCUAAAACAUAAUGUCUCUGGGAAACUUCAACGGAUAUGAAAGACACACAGUUACCUGUAAAGGUACAGAAAACAACCGAAAUAAUAAUAGUAUAUGUUAUACCCACUGAAUAAUAUACUGCUUUCUAGAGUUUCAACUAUUCACUAUCUGUCAGACGUUCAGUGCAUGUUACAGGACGAACACUUGAGAACAUCAUUGCAGAUAAAGAUUGCCGGGCUUCGAGAGACUUUGGACCACGGUGAAACAACAGAUUGCGGAGGAACAUUAAAGAGAUUAUCAAGUUAUGACAUUGGCGCGCGACAGUCUGGUGUACAAAAAAUUAACUGAACAUCCCAUACCGACUUUGAAUAGAAGAUUCUCAGUAUUUAAUUGAUCGUUCGAUCUAAGAUUAGCGUCGAAAAAUACCUUUUGCAUUGGACAUUGUAGAAACGAUCGUCCAUUUCUUCUAGAACACACAAAUCCAGAGUCGAGGUCGUGCACAAGCACAAGACAACUGGUAUAAAGAAUUUUCCUGUUGGUUCACAGAUGGCGGCGGCGGCGCUCCUCUGCCGGUAUAAAAAUAGAAAUCUCUUAAGAUAGAACGCAUUAUAAUAAAAAUGAAAUGAUUAUUGCGAUUAAUGCGCAUACCAAUGUACAUAGAAACGACUCGCGAGCAAACAAUAUACUUCACCGUUCCCACGAAAACAAGCUCGAAUCGUUUAAUCGAUUCACGGAACUUCGUAUUAUUACAUUUUAUUAGACAAUGACAAUGCCAUUAGUCGUUUAUUAUCUUGUUUACUCUAACAAUCCUCAACUAAUCCGUUCACGUGAUUAGGAGCUGUAAGAAGAACGACUCCACUUAAAAAUUCGAAAUCGACGCCAUUUUGCUAUGAUCUGAUCUCGAUGCUAUAGUAUAGUGUGUCAAAUUUGUAAUCUAAUGUAAACCCUGCAACAAUACAAUAAACAGUAUUAAAAAUA